GACGAACGCUGGCGGCGUGCUUAACACAUGCAAGUCGAACGGACGAGUGAGAUAAGUUUACUUAACUCACAAGUUAGUGGCGGACGGGUGAGUAACACGUGGAUAAUCUACCUGCAACACCGGGAUAACGCUGUGAAAACGGUGCUAAUACCGGAUACGUUCCCUUGUGCGCAUGUAUGAGGGAAGAAAGCUCAGGCGGUUGCAGAUGAGUCCGCGGCUGAUUAGCUAGUUGGUGAGGUAACGGCUCACCAAGCCUACGAUGGAUAGGGGAACUGAGAGGUUGGUCCCCCACACUGGUACUGAGACACGGACCAGACUCCUACGGGAGGCAGCAGUGAGGAAUAUUGGUCAAUGGGCGAGAGCCUGAACCAGCCAAGUCGCGUGAAGGAAGAAGGAUCUAUGGUUCGUAAACUUCUUUUGCAGGGGAAUAAAGUGCAGGACGUGUCCUGUUUUGUAUGUACCCUGAGAAUAAGGAUCGGCUAACUCCGUGCCAGCAGCCG
rnacentral:rRNA from 1 species